rnacentral:rRNA from 1 species
UACGUAGGGUGCAAGCGUUGUCCGGAAUUAUUGGGCGUAAAGAGCUCGUAGGCGGUCUGUCGCGUCUGCUGUGAAAACUCAGGGCUUAACCCUGAGCUUGCAGUGGGUACGGGCAGACUAGAGUGCGGUAGGGGAGACUGGAAUUCCUGGUGUAGCGGUGAAAUGCGCAGAUAUCUGGAGGAACACCGGUGGCGAAGGCGGCAUCCUGGACCGGCAUUGACGCUGAGGCGCGAAAGCGUGGGGAGCAAACAGG